UGUAGAUCUCUGAUCGGAGAUCCUUCCCUUGUGGAGUUCUCCCUGUGAGCCUAAAUCUUCAGAGCUGGUAAUGAAGGUGUUAACCCAAGUUACAAUUGGAGAGUGGUAGAAAAUUGGCCCAGCUGUAGGAGAUGAGGAAUCAGGAACAGGCAUAUCUGCUAAGGAAAGCUGCAUUAUAGACUGAAGCACUUGUAUUCUUCUGGAUACAGGUUUAAGGUUGAAGAGAAUAUGAUACUGUUUUUGACUGAGUACUGCUAAGUACUGGAAGAACGCACAUAUAAAACUGAGAUUUUUCAAUUGUAUUAUGACUGAAAAAUUACUGCCCUGUGCACUUUUUCUUUAUUGGUUAUGUUUGUGUUAUAUGUGAGAGAAGACAAGUCAUGCUUUUGGAAAACAUGUUUGUCUAUGCUUGCUGUGUGUUUUUCUGUAUUCUGUUCUGCAACUAAAAUCUAGCAGAACUCACUCAAGUCUGAGAUAACGUGCUAUUUCUCUAAACCUGCUGUAUUCAAGAGGCUGUGCUUCAUGUGUCACCAAACAAGAGUCUCAAAGUGCAUUUUCUACCUGAAUUAUAGGUAGUAUGUUUGUGUCAUCAUCAUGUAUUGGUUAAAGAGUCUUCUGGAGCUAUAGUUGUCUAAUUGUCUGGAAGUAGAAGUGGAGAUAGGAUAAUAUGACUUGCUGUGGCAUAUUAUGCUUAGCCAGGCUAACUGAAGAGGCUGCUAUGUUCAGGGAUGUUUAUUCAAGAUUUUUCCCAUUGUGUUCAUUUCCUUCUCCAAAGCAAUAUUUGUAAAUAAUUAAAUUAACAAACUUUAGAACGCUCUUUGUUUCUUUUCACAGAAGAGAACAUCUGAAUUGAGUUCUGAUUUGAAUUCUCAUCUGUAUUCAGGUGUAGCCUCUAAAUAAUGGAAUUGCAGAGCAGUAUCAGGGUUAAGAGACUUUGAUAGGCAGUAUGUAUAGCAUGCUACCCCAGCUACUCAGAAAGACAUAACUGAAAAUUCUCUUAAAUCCUACCUGACAUCAUCAUCCAGAUUGGCUGAGCAUUCUCCUACUUGAAUGAAUCAGCCAGGAACCAAUAUAUCCACUCUCACUGUGGUGUAAGCACUUCAGUCAAAUUGUUAUUAGGUCAUAGAUAGCUCAUGCUAGGUUCAUUAAGCGGUUUGCAGUGGUUUAUUUGAUCAGCUAUAGAUAGUGAUGAAGACUUUCUUGUCAUAUGGUGUCUAGCAGUGUGAUGCCAAUCUACUUUGCUAACUGAUACAGAUGGCUUUUGUAGGUUACAAGGUACAGUAAUGAAGCUGCUGUGGAUCUUGCUGAAGGUCCAUUAGAUGUGUAGAUCAAAACUCCUAUCUAUUGGGGAAUCAGAAAGGUUGGAAACUAUGCUUUAUUUGAUGCUUUCAAAUUAUUUGACACGAUGUAUAUUGGGGAUUGGCAAGUUCCCAUAUUCAUGUAGCUC